rnacentral:rRNA from 1 species
ACGUGAUCUGAGUUCAGACCGGAGUAAUCCAGGUCAGUUUCUAUCUAUAAGAAGUCUUCUCUAGUACGAAAGGACCGAAAAGACAUAGCCAAUGCAUCAGCAAGCUAUCCUCAUCAACUUAUGACUCAAACUCAAUAAGUAUUUAAUUCAACACAUAGCCUUAGAGAAAGGCA